CUGAAACGGGGCUGGGGAGGUCCCAAAAUGGGGCUGAGGGGCUCCAAAUGGGGAUGGGGGGACACCCAGAGCUACCAUAGCCAAUACAGGGACCACAAGACCACCCAGAGUCACCACAGACCACUCUGGGACCAGGAGACCACCCAGAGCCACCACCAGUCUGGUACCUUUGGAUUCUGAGCUGGGGGGCCCCAAAAGUGAGACUGGAAGACUCCCAGGGCCACCGCAGCCCACACCAGGACCGUGAGACCACCCAGAGCCACCACAGCCUGGCACCUUCAGCUUCUCAGCCGUGGGAUCCCAAAACCAGGGCUGGGAGACCCCCAGAGCCACCGCGGCCUGGCACAGGAUCACCGGGGGACACAGAGGAGCUGCAGGGAGCCUGGCCUGGGCUGUGGGACAUCGUGGGGACCGGGGGAUGUUGAGGGGACAUCCCCGGGACAGGGGACAUGGUGUCACUGCAGUAAACACGUCCCACCCUC